GACGAACGCUGGCGGCGUGCUUAACACAUGCAAGUCGAACGGAAAGGCCUCUUUCGGGGGGUACUCGUGUGGUGAACGGGUGAGUAACACGUGAGUAACCUGCCAUUGACUUUGGGUUAACUUCAGGAAACUGGGGCUAAUACCGGACAGGUGCUCCUGCUGCAUGGAGGGGGUUGGAAUGUUUCGGGGGUUGGGCAUGGACUCGCGGCGUAUCAGCUUGUUGGUGGGGUAGUGGCUUACGAAGGCUUUGACGGGAAGCCGGCCUGAGAGGGUGACCGGCAACAUUGGGACAGAGAGACGGCCCAGACACCUACGGGAGGCAGCAGUGGGGAAUAUUGCACAAUGGGUGGAAGCCUGAUGCAGCAGCGCCGUGUGCGGGAUGACGGCCUUCGGGUUGAAAACCGCUUUCGCUCAUGACGAAGCUUUGUGUGACGGUAGUGGGUAAAGAAGCACCGGCUAACUACGUG
rnacentral:rRNA from 1 species